UACGUAGGGGGCGAGCGUUGUCCGGAUUUAUUGGGCGUAAAGAGCGUGUAGGCGGCCACGUAGGUCCGUUGUGAAAACUCGAGGCUCAACCUCGAGACGUCGAUGGAAACCAUCUGGCUAGAGUCCGGAAGAGGAGAGUGGAAUUCCUGGUGUAGCGGUGAAAUGCGCAGAUAUCAGGAAGAACACCUAUGGCGAAGGCAGCUCUCUGGGACGGUACUGACGCUGAGACGCGAAAGCGUGGGGAGCGAACAGG
rnacentral:rRNA from 1 species